GGGAUAUCCUUACAAUGCAUCUGGAGGUAGAAGACAGAAAAGAGACUAAGAGCGGGGAAUAGACUCAACCAUUCUAGAAUACAGCCCGGAUGUGUUACAGGAUCCUGCCCUGGAGUCCUCGCGCAAUCAAUGUUUAUGCUGUGCUCUGCUGGGCUGUGCUGGGCUGGCCUGGGCUGUGCUGUGCUGUGCUGUGCUGUGCUGUGCUGUGCUGUGCUGUGCUGGGCUGUGCUGGGUUGUGCUAGGCGGUACUAGGUGUUGCUAGGCUCCUGCCCCAUCACAAAUGGUUGCAACAAGAUUGAUUAGAAAGGGUACCAUUAGAUUCAGCUGACUGGUUCAAUUAGGAGAAAGGUUCAUCACUCUUAACACAUCAAAUCUCCCCCUAUGUCAGUCUUUCACUGACAUCAGGGGCUGGGCUUCUGUCUCCUCUUCUCUUCUCUGAUCAUUGCCUGUGCAGAAGACAUGGAACUUUUGUCUGUUCAUUAAUAGAGUCCAGUGGUAAGUUUUCCCAGGCCAGCCCUGGUGGUCAAAUGCUCUGGAUUCGAUGCCUAUCCAUUCUCUCCUCACCCUGCAACCACCGGUCCCCAAUUCCUACAAGUCUGGAGCUGGUUUCAAGUUCAUGAAUGUGACCUAGAGAGUAGCAACCUCCCAGCCUCCGGCAUAACCCAUGUUCUCUCUGACUCUGCUUGGGCCACGUGGAUAAUAAAUCUGGCUCCUCCUUGAAGCAGCCACUCACCCAUCAGCAUGGGCAGCCAUGCAAAUUUUCCUGCAGAUUUCACAGGGGAGACAGAGCAGUUUGUAAGUUGCAUGCUCCACAGCACACAGCCUUAAUCCCCUUGUUUGAUUUUUAAAAUUCUCCCCAAGGCGCACCUUGAUUGCUUUGCCUCUGGGACUCUUCCUUUCUGACCUGGCCCUUUGACAUCUUUUAAUUCCUCUCAUUCAUGCCUUUCUUGAUUAAAAGAAGAAGAGAAAAAAAGCUAGAUCUGGAGUGUGAAGCUUGAGAUUCUUUUUUUCUGUUCUGUAAAAUGGGGAUGAUAAUAAUUCCUACCUCAUAAGGUGAGAGGGAGAAUUAAAUGAGAAUUAAGUAAAUAUAAACUCUAAAGUAAUGUUUUGCAAAUAUGACCCAUGAAAUCAAUUUAAUGGGUUGCUACCUGCAUUAACAUGAAGUAAAAAAGAAUAGAAAAUAUCAGAGUGUAUUGCAUGUAGUAAGCAUAAGUUUUGUGAGUCUUUUCUUCUGAUUUUGUAUGUGUAUGUGCAUGUGUGUGUAUGUGUGUGUGACCACUGGCAAUGUAAAAUGGACUCUGCU
rnacentral:lncRNA from 1 species